UUCGAUCAUGGCUCAGAUUGAACGCUGGCAAGGAUGCUUUACACAUGCAAUCAGACAACGGCACGGACUUCAGUCUGGUAGCAGAUGGCGAACAGGUGAUAAUGUAUCGGAACGUGCCUGAUAGCGGGGAUAACUACGCGAAAGCGUAGCUAAUACCGCAUACGCCCUUCGGGGGAAAGCGGGGGACCUUCGGGCCUCGCAUGGAAACGGCCGAUAUCGGAUUAGCUAGUUGGUGGGAGUAACGGCUCACCAAGGCGACGAUCCGUAACUGGUUUGAGAGGACGACCAGCCACUGGGACGGAACCACGGCCCAGACUCCUGAAGAGGAGGCAGUGAGGAAUUUUGGACAAUGAAACCUGAUCCAGCCAUCCCGCGUAUUGCGAUGAAGGCCUUCAGGUUGUAAGCUUUUUGGCAGGAAAGAAACGGCACGGGAUAAUACCCCGUGCAGCAGCCAAUACCUGCGAAUACAGCACCGGCUAACUACAUUGCCAGCAACCGCGGUAAUACGUAGGGUGCAAGCGUUAAUCGGAAUUACUGGGCGUAAAGCGUGCGCGGGCGGUUCGGAAAGAAAGAUGUGAAAUCCCAGAGCUUAACUUUGGGAACUGCAUUUUUAACUACCGAGCUAGAGUGUGUCAGAGGAAGUGGAUUCCGCGUGCUUAGCAGUGAAAUGUGUAGAUAUGCGGAGGAACACCGAUGGCGAAGGCAGCCUCCUGGGGAUAACACUGACGGCACCAUGCACGAAAGCGCGAGGCAAACAGGAUUAGAUACCCUGGUAGUCCACGCCUAAACGAUGUCAACUAGCUGUUGGGGCCUUCGGGCCUUGGUAGCGCAAUAACGCGUGAAGUUGACCGCCUGGGAAGUACAGUUAUAAGAUUAAAACUCAAAGGAAUUGACGGGGACCCGCACAAGCGAUGGAUGAUGGAUUAAUUCGAUGCAGCACGAAAACACCACUACCCUUGACAUGUCUGGAAUCCCGAAGAGAUUUGGGAGUGCUCGCAAAGAACCGAUUACAGAUGCUGCAUGGCUGUCGUCAGCUCGUGUCGUGAGAUGUUGGGUUGAAGUCCCGCAACGAAGCGCAACCCUUGUCAUUAGUUGCUACGAAGGGCACUCUAAUGAGACUGCCCGGUGACAAACCGGAGGAGGUGGGGAUGACGUCAAGUCCUCACUUGGCCCUUAUGGGUAGGGCUUCACGACCAUACAAUGGUCAGGACAGAGGGUCGCCAACCCGCGAGAGCCAAUCCAGAAACCCGAUCGUAGUCCGGAUCGCAGUCUGCAACUCGACUGCGUGAAGUCGGAAUCGCUAGUAAUCGCGGAUCAUGCUCGCGGUGAAUACGUUCCCGGGUCUUAUACCUGCUUGCCAUCCACACCAUGGGAGUGGGUUUUGCAAGUAGUUAGCCUAACCGUAAGGAGGGCGAUUACCCAGUAGGAUUCAUGACUGGGGUGAAGUCCGUAACAAGGUAA
rnacentral:rRNA from 1 species